UGCAGUCGAGCGAGAAAAUUCCUUCGGGAAUGAUUAAAGCGGCGGACGGGUGCGUACAACAUGGAUAACCUACCUUAAGGUCUGGGAUAACCUCGGGAAACCGAAGCUAAUACCGGAUAAGACCACAUUAUCUGCGGAUAAAGGGGUAAAAGUUUUUCGCCUUUUGAUGGGUCCAUGCUCCAUCAGGUUGUUGGUGAGGUAAAAGCUCACCAAGCCGAAGACGGAUAGCCGGCCUUAGCGGGUGAUCGGCCACACGGGGACUGAGACACGGCCCCGACUCCUACGGGAGGCAGCAGUGGGGAAUAUUGGGCAAUGGGCGAAAGCCUGACCCAGCCAUGCCGCGUGAAGGAUGAAGGCCUUCGGGUCGUAAACUUCUGUCAGGAGGGACGAUGGGACUCCGGUCUUGACGGUACCUCCAGAGGAAGCCCCGGCUAACUCCGUGCCAGCAGCCGCGGUAAUACGGAGGGGGCAAGCGUUGCUCGGAUUUACUGGGCGUAAAGGGUCCGCAGGCGGUUAAGCAAGUUAGAUGUGAAAGCUCAAGGCUCAACCUUGAAAUUGCAUCUAAAACUGCUCGACUAGAGUCCAAGAGGGGUCGGCAGAAUU
rnacentral:rRNA from 1 species